UAAUUCUAGAGCUAAUACAUGCUGUUGCGCCCGACUCACGAAGGGCCGUAUUUAUUAGAUAUCAGCCAAUAAGCUUCUGCUAUUGUGGUGACUCAUAGUAACUUAAUCGGAUCGCAUGGGCUUGCCCCGCGACAAACCAUUCAAGUUUCUGCCCCAUCAUGCUUUCGAUGGUAGUGUAUUGGACUACCAUGGCUUUCACGGGUAACGGAGGAUUAGGGUUCGAUUCCGGAGAGGGAGCCUGAGAAACGGCUACCACUUCCACGGAAGGCAGCAGGCGCGUAAAUUACCCAAUCCUGAUUCAGGGAGGUAGUGACAAGAAAUAAUGGGUCGGGGUUCUGCCCCGGGACU
rnacentral:rRNA from 1 species